rnacentral:lncRNA from 1 species
AUAACACCGCUUGUACGUCACAUAAAUAACUGCAUAAAUUCAGUCAAAGUACACUCCGAACAAUGAGAAAUUUUGACCGCUGUAUAAAUUUGAUGAAAAUUGAAAAUUAUCGACAGACGCAGCACGCGUUUCUUUUUUAUAGUCGCUGGAAAAUGACGCAAGCGAGACGUAUAAAAGCGCCCGUCUCGCGCAUGACGUUCUCUUGGAGUCGUUGCUAUCGCUUGGCGAGAACCAUCUUCUCAUCAUGAGAGCGAAGUGGCGAAAGAAGCGUAUGCGCAGGUACGUUUGUAAACCUAGGAGCUGCAUCUUACGUUUUGUAUUGCAGUGGGCAUGAAGUGACUGAGUCCAUGUGAUUUUAGGCUGAAGCGUAAAAGGAGAAAGAUGAGGCAGAGGUCUAAGUAAACUGGACCCAGUUCGCUGAAGCUGAGAGUGCUCCUCUACUUCAAUCUCCUCAGCAAGAGUCUGCUGGAAGCCCAACUGAAGCUCCACUCAUCCACCAUCUAUGAGGUCUGCUUUCUUCUGAAUGAGGAUUUGGUUUCCCAUCACCUGGUUCUGCAGAAGCAUCCUGGUCUUGAUGACCAUGUGAACUGUUUUGGACAUUCCUUAGACCUGUCAGCUCAGCAAGUUUGUUAAUGUCUUCAAUAAAUCUUUUUGGUUUAAAAAUCCUUUGCCUAACUGGUUGUUUUUUGUAUGAGGUAACUGGGUUUUAUUCACGCUAUGAGUAUUAAGAUCAAACCAAGGUAUUU